CGGACUGCCAUUUCAUAUUUCAACAUGUUUGUUUUGUCGUAUCUUUAUUGUUUUACUAGUUCACCACGAGAAUCCAUGCUUUAUUUUGUCAGUACAAGGCAUGCUUGCCGCUCACUGUCUCGUUUGUCGCCAGGAUUCAAGGAUCUCCAUUGGAAAGAAUGUGCCAAGCAAGUAGCACAUCAAGGAACCAUCUGACCCAUCCUAGCUAGGUGGCUUUGAUAGGUCCAGGAUACACGCAGGUCGUCGGAGAAGAAUCUUUAGCAAGAAAGCAAGUCCAAGACACACGCAGCACUAGGAUCUUGGGUUGUUGGAGAAGAGUCUGCAGCAAAAAAGCAACGAGAGACAAGGUACUCGGUGUUUUUCUGGACUGUGCUCGUUUUUGUAUUAUUUGUUCAUAACUGAACUGAGGAGAGCCCACACCAUUGUACUACUCUAUCUCCUUCACCUGGACCAUGGUGUAUGAUAGUUGUGCAUUCCUUAUUAGCUAUUGCUAACGGUACCUCUAUGCUAGUCAUUCUCCCUCAAAAUUAAUUUUGAUCCUUAGCAACAAUACUAUUUGAACUUCUCUUCUGCCUCCAUGUUGCGUGACUGGUCAUGAGCUGGAUUCAUUUUUAAGACUUUAUAGUAUAACAUUUUAAACAUUGGUACUGUUUGCUGAAUUCAUAAGGGUAAUCCCAGUGCAAUAGGUAGAAUCUGAUCUGAGAUUGUUAGUGUUGCUGAUUGACCAGAAAUACGAAGAAUAUAGUAGCACCAUUGAUUGAUUGGACCUGAACUGAAUGUAACCGUGGUAAAUACCGCAUUUUAUAACAUCUACUUCUUCUUAGCUUGAUAAAAAGCACAACCAUAUGAAAACAGAAGUAACACAUUCUUCCCUGUUGCUAGUUAAGGGAUUUGAGAUUUUAGCACUUCAAGUUGCUCGCUGUUUCAAGUUGGGUCAUGGCCAUUUUAUAACAUUCACGGUUUUAAGAAUGAUGAAAGCACAACCAUAUGAAACUACAAUUAACAAACUCUUCCCUAUUGUAUUGUAACAGAUGGGAGAUCAGGGGGGUACCUGCCUGCAAUCCAAGGAGCAAAUCGAGGCCACCCCUGUGACCAAGCAAGAUGCUACAGUUAGAAGAGAACGGGCGCUCGCCUACGGAUUCUCCCAUUAGGUUGGUUUGGUUGCAGCAGAUUCAUGGCCACGUUAUGUUUACAUUGAUGGUUGCAAAUAAAUCUGCUUAUGUGCUGGACUGGCACUUGACAUUUCAACAAUGUUUGUUUUUGUCGAUCUUUACUGUUUUACCAGUUCACUACUGGAACCCAUGCUUGAUUUCGUUAGCAUAAGGCAUGCUUGUCGCUCACUGUCUCGUUUGUCAUCAGGAUUCAAGCAUCUCAAUUGAAAGGACUACGCAAAGCAAACGACACGACAAGGAAUCAUCAGACUCAUCCUAGGUGGCUUUGAUAGGUCCAGGACACGCGGGGCAUCUGAGAAGAAUAUGUAACAAGAAAACAAGUCCAAGACACAAAAGAUCUUGGGUCGUGGGAGAAGAGUCGGCAGCAAAAAGUCAACAAUAGACAAAGGGUACGCGAUAUUUUUCUGGGCUGAGUUCAUUUUUGUAUUAUUUGCUUAUAACUGAACCGAGUCAAGGCUGCAACACUGCACCGUUCUCUUCUUCACGUGGACCAUGGUGUAUGAUGGUUAUGCAUUCCCUGUUGCUAGUAGAACCUCUAUGCCAAACCAUUUCUAGUUCAGUAUUGGCAAACUAUAUUGUACAUGGACAGCAAUAUAGGACAGAGUUGGGAUCCUUUUUGCUAAUUUUGACUAAAUAAUAAUGUGCUCUUCGUAUAGUUUCGGUCAAUUCAAGGGAGCACUUUUACUCUCUAUUAUAACCCGCAAAAAUUGACUUGAUUCAGUCAGUUAUGAGCUAACCAGUGACUUGUACAGUCUAACGGGUCCUAACUGGAGUUUUUCAUCAUGUGUCUUACUUGCUAGACUUGGAUCAAUGGAAGGGUUUAGUUUGUUGUAACCGGAGCUAGUAGGCAUGGUCAGUUUGCACCAUUGCUUGCUUAGUCCAAGUAAAAGGGCCUUGGUCCUGAGAAAUAUGUUUUUCCCCUUCUACUAUUUCUGGUCUUUAUGCAGUUUUUGCAGUGUCAUCUCUCUGGCUCAACAAGGUUGUUAAUGAUUAGUGCCGAGUACCAUAGUUUUUUCCUCCAGCUACGAGUUUCCUUGAUUUUUAUGUGGUGACUCUUUGUGUUCUGAGCAUUCAAAUUCCUUUGUGCUAAUCUCAUGGGAUUUGGACUCUCUGAUGUUGCUCCAGUAGCACUAUUUGUAGAAUUUGUUCUUUGUUUGCUCCUUUACAUAGAAUGACCAUCUGUUCUUAUGUCAUGUUCAUGUUUUGUCGUGGUUAUAUUUCAUAACGAACUGAGUUGUGGUUAUUUGAUGUUUUGCCAGGACAGUUUCUAUGAGAUGCAACCAUGGAUAUCACCUUGAUUCUGCUUGACGCCCAGGACCAGGACACUGAUGUAUGGUGUGUAACAACAAACCUCCUUGUAGCUGUAGCUUUCCUCUAGUGUUGAGAACAAAUAGAGUUGUGCUGAGAACAGGAAAUUCUUCAUUUUGCGUUCAACAAUAUAAUUCUGCUCUCCUUUUGUUGUACACAAAUGAGACACUCAUGAAUAGCAAGCAAGUAAGCAACCAUCUUGGCAGCACCUAUCUAUUUCAGAGAUUGAUGUAUUUAUGUUUUUUUUUACCGUGUAUACUAUACAAUAUCAUUCUUGUGUUACAAGUUCAUUUGUGAAAGCUAGGCAAUUUUUUCUUUAAGACAUGCAAGUUUUAUGCUUGUAGAAAAUACUUGCUACAAAUGAAGUCAACUAUAAUGACAGAUUAAGCUUUAGUCUAACUGAAUUGGUCCACUGGACUGUGCUUGCAGAUCAUGUUACUUUUGUGGUUACAUGGACUGCUAGGGCUACCUGCAUCUGCUCGUCCACUGCUCUGACGCCAUGGUGAGACGUAGAUCUUCCCCUGUUCCCACCCUAGCGCAGGCUGCUGCUCGUCAAGGUGGGUACUCUCGCCCAUCAUUGAUUUACUCUUCUUUCCUUGCCUUCCAUUCUCUGAAGUGCUCUUGGUUGGCUUGCCUGGUUUCCUUACCCACGCAGGUGCAUGCCUGCCUGACGAAACCAACAUCGAUCACAAGUGGCCAACCCUAGCUACUGGCGCACACCAGGGUUGUUUGUUGCUGGCCGUACCCGACAUGCACAAGUUUGUCUCUCCCUAGCUGCUCCAGCCCUCACUCCGCCGCUUGCUUUCGGCAUAGGUGGUGGUUCCUCUCCUCUACUCCCUCGAUUUAUUUCUAGUGUUUUUUUUGUGAUGUGCUGGUGUUGCAAACAUUUCUAGUGUUUGCUUAUUGGAUUUAGCUCUCAAUUGUGAACUGGCCUUGAUUUAUGCAGGCAGUUUGCUGUCUUCUGGUUGCGCGAAGGAGGCCAUGGAGAAGUUGCCGCCGACCUAUGGUGUGCACCAGAAGGUGAACUCAAGGAGAGUUUGAUCUUCUCAGCGCCCUGGUGGUUGUGAUUAUCUAUCUGGGUUCGCCAGGAAAAUCACGAUAUUUUUGGGCACCCCGUGAUUGAAGAGUGGAUCCUGUUUGCUGCAAUCUUUAAUGGAAAACAGAAGUAGUAUGGUGUAAUGUGUUUCCCCAUGGUGAUAGGGUUUUUUGUUUUGGUCGUUUCUGGGAUGAUGCAUAUGUGGAUAAAUCUGAACGACAUCCAAUGACUGUAUGAAUAAGGCCGAUCAAAAUUAUUGUCUGCCAUUGAAAUUAAGAUGCAAUCAAGCCAAUGAUUUUUUCUGGUUGAUGAUCUGAAGGACUUGCUGAUUGCAUAGAUAAUUUAUUUGUCCUUGUUUCAAGAUCCAUGCCCAUGACCAUGAUGGAUAUGUCACCAGUUCCAUUUUCUUGUAAAUGCUGGCUAGCAUAUACUUGCUUUGUUGCUCUUGAAAAAUAAUAGAAAAGAGACUGCCCAUGCAUGCCCAUCAACAC
rnacentral:lncRNA from 1 species